rnacentral:rRNA from 1 species
GUGAGGAAUAUUGCGCAAUGGAGGCAACUCUGACGCAGCCAUGCCGCGUGCAGGAAGAAGGCGCUACGCGUUGUAAACUGCUUUUAACCGGGAAGAAACCCCAGGACGUGUCCUGGGUUGACGGUACCGGAGGAAUAAGCACCGGCUAACUUCGUGCCAGCAGCCGCGGUAAUACGAAGGGUGCAAGCGUUAUCCGGAUUCAUUGGGUUUAAAGGGUGCGUAGGCGGAGCGUUAAGUCAGUGGUGAAAUCCUGCAGCUUAACUGUAGACUUGCCAUUGAUACUGGCGCUCUUGAGUGCGCUUGAAGUGGGCGGAAUGUGCCGUGUAGCGGUGAAAUGCUUAGAUAUGGCACAGAACACCAAUUGCGAAGGCAGCUCACUAAGGCGAUACUGACGCUGAGGCACGAAAGCGUGGGGAUCGAACAGGAUUAGAAACCCUGGUGUCC